rnacentral:lncRNA from 1 species
AGGUUGGUUCAGCCGGAGAGCCAAUUUGGGCUUAGGAUUGGCAACUUUUGCUGGGGAUGAGAGCCCUACAUGAACAUGAGGUAAGCAUACUAGCCUGUAUGAUACUUGCUAGCCCACACAUGGUUUAGAUAUAGGGCGGCUUUGCGCCUUUAGGCUUUAGUGCGUGACAUUCAUAUAUAUAUAUAUAUAUAUAUAUGGGCCCAAAAUGGUGUGGCCAACUAAUAACCCUACUAUUAAAUCGUUACAUGUUCGCAAUUGUGUAUGGUUUAUGUCAGAGUACCGGCUUAACUUCUAGCAAAGCAUCUGCCCGAAGGCCCAGAACCAAGCAAGGAAUAUCAAAUGGGAAGCCACCUGCGCCUAAAGUCGACCAAGUAAAGGAUGUAGACGGCCGCUGCUCCCUGAGAUCUACCGAACUACCGUGCACGAGUCGCCCCUCCAUUCGCAUGCGCACACC